GUGCGCCCGAAUCGCCUCUUAGGGGAGCCGCAGUGCGCAGGUGCGGAAGUCACACGGCUGGUGGUUGGUUUCGUCUGCUGGUGGUUAGCUAAGGAAGCUCGAUGGAGGGCAUGUGGUCGUUCUGCUAAUGCUCGCUAAAGCGGCUAGUUAGCUCAGUAAGUAUAGAAAGGAUUUACAGUUCUGGGUGCAUUAUUGGUCAGGGCUAAGUUAUAAAGGGCUGAAGUUUCGUCUGUGGUCGGUGCUGACUCACAAAUCAACGGAAAGUGCGGAAGAAGGCAAGGAGCCAUGUCGUACUACUCAUCCUCCCGUAGCUCGUCUCGGACCACCGACUGCAAAGUUUAUGUGGGUGACCUGGGCAAUGGUGCUGCCAAAGGAGAGCUGGAGCGAGCAUUCAGUUACUACGGUCCGCUGCGAAGCGUCUGGGUGGCCAGGAACCCGCCUGGCUUUGCCUUUGUGGAGUAUGAGGACCCCAGGGAUGCAGAGGAUGCAGUGAAAGGCAUGGAUGGAAAGGUUCUGUGUGGUUCCCGUAUUCGUGUUGAAAUGUCAACAGGCCUGUCGAGGAAGGGCCGCGGUCGCCCCAGUCGACGCCAUUUUGAUCCCAACGAUCGGUGUUACCAGUGUGGGGACCGGGGCCACUACGCUUAUGACUGCUACCGGUUCAACAAGAGAGGAGGUGGUCGCCGCAGCAGGUCUCGAUCCCGCUCUCGGUCUCGCUCCAGGUCCAGGUCCCGUGGACGCCGCUACCGCUCUCGCUCCCGCAGCCGUAGCAAUGGCCGCCGCCAUAGAUCUCCAUCCUAUUCCAAACGCAGAAGCAGGUCUGUCUCCCCUGCUCGUUCUAAGUCCAGGACUCCAGUGAGAAGUCGCUCCAGGUCUCGUUCUCGGUCUGGCUCCGGACCCAGAGGGCGCUCAGCCUCUCGCUCCCGUUCUCGCUCCCGUUCAGUCAGCCACAAGAGGAACAGCGUGUGGUGGGAGCUGAGCACUGCACAGGCACCGCAGCUGAUCCCAGGCCCAGGGUCUGCCAGCUGGCGGUGUGCACGUCCUGCGGGAGGGUGACUAAGCGCUGACCUGAGAUCAGCCUUCGCCUGCAGCUGGUGUUAGAGGUCGACCUACCGACCGAGCCCCCGCCACAGAGAAUGAGUGGCCGUCUGUCCGACCGACGCACACGCUCAGACGAGAUCAGCCCGCGCACACAUACAGUUGUUCUACUAGAGUCACCCAGCCAGCCAGCCAGCCAGCCUUCAGACCUACCAGAGGGCUGACCCACACAGUUCAGAGUUCGACCACUACCUUUUUAAACCCAUUACCUACCUACCAGACCCCCCUACCUACCUACCAGAGCUCUUCGGCCUCUGUCUUAGCUUCUGAAAGUGAGAGCAUGAGAGAGCUGACGAGAGAUCAGUCUUCAAGAGCCUCCCAGCGCAGUGUCUCUCCGAGUUGUAGUCAUCCGUCCUUCAGUCCUUUCGUCCUUCGCUUCUCUGUACUUGUUGUUUCUGCCACUGUCUCCAAAGUCGUUCCCGUUCAGCAAGUCCGAAGCGAAGCCCCACGCCAGGAGACGACUGAGCAAAGAAGAAUAAUAACCCCUCAUACCCAUGCCCUAAACACACACACCUCUGAUUCCCUUCCCUUCCCAGUCACAUCCCACCCACCCUGCUUUGACAGCCCUUAAGCUGUUAUUUUGUUUGGUUUUUUUUUUUUGUUUGUUUUUUUAAAAUUUUUGUUUUGUUUUGUAAGCUAGUCUUCUGAGUUUGGAUUUCUCUCCUGGGAUGUAUUCACUGUGCAGCCUUACAAUGUUGCAAGUCCAUUUCCAUGCGAUAGGGCCACAGGAUUGUUUUAAACACUGCUUUCUGUUUGGACUACCUUUUACAUAAGCGGGGAAUUCAAGCAACAACUUCUGUGUUAUCAGAUGAAUGAUGCAGUUGACUUUUAACAGUGAUUUGGGCAGUUCAUACAGCAAAUAGCAGACAUCCCAGUUUAUACAGUGCUGCAGGAUGAGGCACACAUGCAAGUUUUACUUCGAGGACAUUGCACUGACCUGCUUUUAUACCCUAACCCGCCUUGCCUUUACUGCAACAAAUGUCAAUCCCAAAUGCUGUGCGUGACCAAACCUAGAUUCUGGUCCUGUACUAGUACUAAAGUCGACCUCCCCAUUUUUGGAAGAACUGGUAAAUAAAAUUUUCAAUCCCUAACCUGUCUCACAUGUGCAUGGCUGACUGCUGUAACCCUAAAAUGGACUUUGCAAAUGGGCAAAAGUAUGAAUAAUUUUUUUCCCCCCUUGCACUCUGGUUGACAUUUGAGCUCAGAAACGCAGUUCACCUGACCCAUCUGGCAUACUCACACAAAGACACACUCAUACAGAGUCGCUGGCCUGCAUGCCUUAUGUAUGAUGAUGUCACAUUCCCACAGCAGAGACUGGUACUCCGCAUGAUGUCUGUUCUUGUACUGCACUGCCCUUUUUACAAUUGUCAUCAGCUCACUGUCCACUUGGUAGAUUUUUCUGUAUGUGCUGAUCAAAAAUUUGUUUUUUUGUGAUGAUUUUUGGUUGUUUAAAAAAUUCAGCAUGCUGAGAUUUUGUUUCUGCAAGGGCUGCUUUAACUUUUUGCUCUCUCCCUGGCUUAUAAAACAGUGGCAGUUUUAUUUUUGAAUAAAUCUCUUAGACAUA